GCUGGUUGCUUUGUCUCUUCUAAUAUGCUGUUCUCUUGUCUGCAUGGCCAUACGUAAAGCCGGCUUUCCGGAAGAAUCCACACUGACACCGAUGAUUCUUCCGGGCAUCAUUCUUUUAUAUUCCUGGGAAGUUGCUAAAAAGGCUGCGUGUGGACCUCCAUAACCCAUUGGGACACCGAAUCUUUGAGCAGAACCCACAACAAUAUCGGCUCCAAACUCACCAGGAGGUUUUAACACAGUCAGAGCUAACAAAUCAGUAGCCAUGACAACUUUCACACCAUUUGCAUGUGCGUUCUUGAUGAACUCACCAUAGUCCAACAACUCACCUUCGGUCCCUGGAUACUGAACAAGAACUCCACACACAUCACCAGAUGAGUAAUCGAAAUCCUUGAGAUCAGAAGUGACGACUUUUAGAUCAAACCCAUCUGCUCUAGUUUUACAGAUAUCGAUUGUUUGUGGGUGGCAGUUACUUGCGAUGAUAAAGGUUUUCUUUUUACCCUUUUGGAUGUUGUUACACAUCGCCAUAGCUUCAGCAGCCGCAGUUCCUUCAUCGAGUAGGGAAGCGUUUGACAUGGGUAAACCAGUGAGAUCGGUGAUCAUGGUCUGGAAAUUGAGCAGGGAUUCUAAACGUCCCUGUGCGAUUUCCGCCUGAUAUGGAGUGUACUGUGUAUACCAACCAGGGUUUUCCAUGAUGUUUCUUAGAAUGACUGGAGGAACAGAUGUGUUGUAGUAUCCCAUACCGAUGAAGGACUUGUAGAUCUUAUUCUUGGAAGCUAAAUCUUGCAUGUGUGCGAUCAUUUGGGAUUCGGUUAAGCCUUCAUCGAACUUAGGGAAUUUCAUUGAUUCAAGACGGAUUGAUUUGGGUACAGUGGCGUCAAUGAGGGAAUCGAGAUUUGGAAAACCGACAAAUUCGGCCAUUUUGGUUUGUUCAUCUGGGGUGGCGGAGUUAUGGCGGCGUGGGAAGGUGUCACUUGGUUUUAAUGCAUCUACUGAUAUAGAUCGAACUUGCGAUUGCGUAUGCGAACCGAACCCAUUGAUGGUUCUUUCUGAUCUAACGUUUCUGCCACUACCACUACAUACGUAUGGAGUCAAAGAGGAGACAUACCUUGAAGGCGAAUAGAGCGCAGGGGAUGAUGGGUUUUGUUUGGUUUGUGAAACCAGGCGCCCGAGGAUGGCUUUGUUUGCUAGCCUGCGUGCACGCUCCAUUGUGUGUGAUGGAUACUAUCGAACUUGAAUG
rnacentral:lncRNA from 1 species